GACGAACGCUGGCGGCGUGCUUAACACAUGCAAGUCGAACGGAAAGGCCCUGCUUUUGUGGGGUGCUCGAGUGGCGAACGGGUGAGUAACACGUGAGUAACCUGCCCUUGACUUUGGGAUAACUUCAGGAAACUGGGGCUAAUACCGGAUAGGAGCUCCUGCUGCAUGGUGGGGGUUGGAAAGUUUCGGCGGUUGGGGAUGGACUCGCGGCUUAUCAGCUUGUUGGUGGGGUAGUGGCUUACCAAGGCUUUGACGGGUAGCCGGCCUGAGAGGGUGACCGGCAACAGGGGGGAGGAGAGAGGGCCGGGCCUCCGAGGGGGGGAAGAGGGGGGGAAGAUGGCAGAGGGGGCGGAAGCCGGAUGCAGCAGCGCGGCGGGGGGGGGGAGGCCUUGCGGGUUGAACCCCUCUUCCGCUGGGGACGAAGGGGGAGGGAGGGAAAGGGGAAAAGAAGCACCGCAAAACUACGC
rnacentral:rRNA from 1 species